AAAGUUUUAAGUUAAAUAAACUAUAAUCUUUCAAAGAUUAAAAUAUAUUUUUAAACUUUG
rnacentral:tRNA from 1 species